rnacentral:lncRNA from 7 species
AGAUGGAUGGAAGAGACGGAGGAGACGCGCCCUCCGCAGCCGGGCCGUACAGCCAUCACCCGGCGGGGCGGUGGGCACCGGGGAGCACCCGAAUGUGCGAGACCGAGCACCGGAGAGCGAGGAACCUUUGUCUGCGAGGUCUCCCGAGGACGCCCGAGUGUUCAUAGCACGCUUUCCGGAUGGGGCAGGGCUCCCCAACAAACCCCACAGCGGGGCAGAACGGUGACCCUCUGCCUUUUUUCCCGAGACCGGACAGGACACGUCGGUCGAUCCCGGGACCACGACGGGGACGGAGGAUGGGUCAGUCUGGUGUGCCAUAACCCCGACCUGAGUUUGUGGAGUCAGGUAUCCCGACACAUCCUUGAAGCACAAACUCAGAUGGUGUACAAUGCUAUGCCUGCAAAUACAGCACUUGCACAGACAUGUCUGAAGAAGGAAAAGAAGGUGUGCGUUCGCUUCAUCCUCGGGCGGGGCUCUCUAUGGAGCACAGGGAAAGGACCCAGAGAUUUUCAGCGCUCAUUUUCGGGAGGUGUAGCCCCGCAGAUGCCACACUCCUCCCGGUCUAUGUUUUUCUCCUGUAUGUCCCGGAGCUGGGGACUGCCGGGGCCGUCCCUGUGAGCAUCUCCGUUCUGGUCCGCAGCCCGGCAUUGGGUGGGUGCCGGCAGGUGACAGCUUCUCAGGGCCACCCCCUCUCGUUCCCUCCCCGCCUCUGUGGGCUCCUGAGCCUUCGGAAGCUCAACGCACAAAGCGAGGGGAAGGGAGGAGCGGGGGCUCGAGCUCCGAGAGGAGCCGGAGGGCCGAAAAGGGCAUUUGGGGUGGAAAGGGUGCGAAUAGGUGCCGCAAGCGACAGCUCCAGUACGGGGAGCCGGCCCCAUGGAGCGGAGCGGGCCUGCAAUGUGAAUGCAAUUACGCCGCCUGUGUUUGAUGCCUCCCCUUACUCUUCCCCCACAAGCAGUGCCUCGGUACGUCUUAAAAUAGAAGCGAAAUGAAAGGCAGCCUUGAGCGCUCUCUCCUUCCUAACCUCUGCUCCGCUCCGCUUUUAGGAGCGCGCGAUGGGUUUGGGGUCCGGAGCUUUACAGGAGCGCUACGACGGGAGUGGGAGUGCGAGAGGGCUCUCCCUCCUCCGUACCCACAGAGGCGCUCCGUGCCUACCGUCCUCCCGGCAGCCCCGACGGCAGCGCUGUAGGGAAGGGUUCUGGGCCACCACCCGCCUCUGGUUCUCUGGUUGAUAUAGGUGUAUGUAUAUAUGCAUACAUAUAUAGUAAAGCUUGCAGAAAUGUUCGCUUAAACUAUAAAAAUAAAGCCAAUAAAAGACCCUACGUGCAUCUUCAGUAAACCACUAACAACGCUACGAGAAAUAUUCGGAAGCAAUUUUUUUUUUCCCGAGUUUUUUUCCGUGCUCAGUGGUCCCUUAGAAAAGUGGAGGUGGUGCAAACGUUUGGAUAUCUCCCUUUAAAAGAAGCGUAAAAUAAAACAAACGAUCGACU